rnacentral:rRNA from 1 species
AUUGAACGCUGGCGGCAUGCUUUACACAUGCAAGUCGAACGGUAACAGGCCGCAAGGUGCUGACGAGUGGCGAACGGGUGAGUAAUGCAUCGGAACGUGCCCAGUCGUGGGGGAUAACGCAGCGAAAGCUGCGCUAAUACCGCAUACGAUCUAUGGAUGAAAGCGGGGGACCGAAAGGCCUCGCGCGAUUGGAGCGGCCGAUGUCAGAUUAGGUAGUUGGUGGGGUAAAGGGUCACCAAGCCAACGAUCUGUAGCUGGUCUGAGAGGACGACCAGCCAAGCUGGGACUGGGACACGGCCCAGACUCCUACGGGAGGCAGCAGUGGGGAAUUUUGGACAAUGGGCGCAAGCCUGAUCCAGCAAUGCCGCGUGCAGGAAGAAGGCCUUCGGGUUGUAAACUGCUUUUGUACGGAACGAAACGGCUCUGGUUAAUACCUGGGGCUAAUGACGGUACCGUAAGAAUAAGCACCGGCUAACUACGUGCCAGCCGCCGCCGUAACAC